UACGUAGGGUGCGAGCGUUAAUCGGAAUUACUGGGCGUAAAGCGUGCGCAGGCGGUUGUGCAAGACAGAUGUGAAAUCCCCGGGCUUAACCUGGGAACUGCAUUUGUGACUGCACGGCUAGAGUGCGGCAGAGGGGGAUGGAAUUCCGGCGUGGUAGCAGUGAAAUGCGUAGAUAUGCGGAGGAACACCGAUGGCGAAAGGCAAUCCCCCUGGGCCUGCACUGGACGCUCAU
rnacentral:rRNA from 1 species